GAGUGGCGAACGGGUGAGUAAUAUAUCGGAACGUGCCCAGUCGUGGGGGAUAACGCAGCGAAAGCUGCGCUAAUACCGCAUGUGAUCUGUGGAUGAAAGCGGGGGACCGUAAGGCCUCGCGCGAUUGGAGCGGCCGAUAUCAGAUUAGGUAGUUGGUGGGAUAAAAGCCUACCAAGCCGACGAUCUGUAGCUGGUCUGAGAGGACGACCAGCCACACUGGGACUGAGACACGGCCCAGACUCCUACGGGAGGCAGCAGUGGGGAAUUUUGGACAAUGGGCGCAAGCCUGAUCCAGCAAUGCCGCGUGCAGGACGAAGGCCUUCGGGUUGUAAACUGCUUUUGUACGGAGCGAAACGGUCUGGGAUAAUACCCUGGGCUAAUGACGGUACCGUAAGAAUAAGCACCGGCUAACUACGUGCCAGCAGCCGCGGUAAUACGUAGGGUGCGAGCGUUAAUCGGAAUUACUGGGCGUAAAGCGUGCGCAGGCGGUUUUGUAAGACAGGCGUGAAAUCCCCGGGCUCAACCUGGGAAUGGCGCUUGUGACUGCAAGGCUUGAGUGCGGCAGAGGGGGAUGGAAUUCCGCGUGUAGCAGUGAAAUGCGUAGAUAUGCGGAGGAACAC
rnacentral:rRNA from 1 species